rnacentral:rRNA from 1 species
UACAGAGGGUGCGAGCGUUGUUCGGAAUCAUUGGGCGUAAAGCGCUUGUAGGCGGCCUGAAAGUCUCGUGUGAAUCCCUGGCUUAACCAGGGAAGUGCGCGAGAAACUUUGGGCUUGAGUGCCGGAGAGGUCGCGGAAUUCCGGUGUAGAGGUGAAAUUCGUAGAUAUCGGGAGGAACACCAGUGGCGAAGGCGGCGACCUGGACGGACACUGACGCUGAGACGCGAAGCGUGGGAGC